UAAAAAAUUAGUUAAAUAUUUAUAACAUUAAAUUGUCAAUUUAAAAUUAUUAUUUUAAAAUAAUAUUUUUUAA
rnacentral:tRNA from 1 species